AGAGUUUGAUCAUGGCUCAGAUUGAACGCUGGCGGCAGGCUUAACACAUGCAAGUCGAGCGGAGACUUCGGUCUUAGCGGCGAACGGGUGAGGAAUGCCAGGGAAUCUGCCUGAUAGUGGGGGAUAACGACCCGAAAGGGUCGCUAAUACCGCAUACGUCCUACGGGAGAAAGUGGGGGAUCUUCGGACCUCACGCUAUCAGAUGAGCCCAGGUCGGAUUAGCUAGUUGGUGGGGUAAAGGCUCACCAAGGCGACGAUCCGUAGCUGGUCUGAGAGGAUGAUCAGCCACACUGGAACUGAGACACGGUCCAGACUCCUACGGGAGGCAGCAGUGGGGAAUAUUGGACAAUGGGGGCAACCCUGAUCCAGCCAUGCCGCGUGUGUGAAGAAGGCCUUCGGGUUGUAAAGCACUUUAAGCGGGGAGGAAGGCCUUGGGAUUAAUACUCCCGAGGAUUGACGUUACCCGCAGAAUAAGCACCGGCUAACUCUGUGCCAGCAGCCGCGGUAAUACAGAGGGUGCAGGCGUUAAUCGGAAUUACUGGGCGUAAAGCGCGCGUAGGCGGUUUGUUAAGUCGGAUGUGAAAUCCCCGGGCUCAACCUGGGCACGGCAUCCGAUACUGGCUGACUAGAGUGUGGGAGAGGAAGGUAGAAUUCCAGGUGUAGCGGUGAAAUGCGUAGAGAUCUGGAGGAAUACCGAUGGCGAAGGCAGCCUUCUGGCCUAACACUGACGCUGAGGUGCGAAAGCAUGGGGAGCAAACAGGAUUAGAUACCCUGGUAGUCCAUGCCGUAAACGAUGUCAACUAGCCGUUGGGGACCUUGAGUCUUUAGUGGCGCAGCUAACGCGAUAAGUUGACCGCCUGGGGAGUACGGCCGCAAGGUUAAAACUCAAAUGAAUUGACGGGGGCCCGCACAAGCGGUGGAGUAUGUGGUUUAAUUCGAUGCAACGCGAAGAACCUUACCUGGCCUUGACAUAUCCGGAAUCCUGCAGAGAUGCGGGAGUGCCUUCGGGAAUCGGAAUACAGGUGCUGCGUGGCUGUCGUCAGCUCGUGUCGUGAGAUGUUGGGUUAAGUCCCGCAACGAGCGCAACCCUUGUCCUUAGUUGCCAGCACGUAAUGGUGGGAACUCUAAGGAGACUGCCGGUGACAAACCGGAGGAAGGCGGGGACGACGUCAAGUCAUCAUGGCCCUUACGGCCAGGGCUACACACGUACUACAAUGGUCGGUACAAAGGGUUGCUAACCCGCGAGGGCAUGCUAAUCUCAAAAAGCCGAUCGUAGUCCAGAUUGGAGUCUGCAACUCGACUCCAUGAAGUCGGAAUCGCUAGUAAUCGCGGAUCAGAAUGCCGCGGUGAAUACGUUCCCGGGCCUUGUACACACCGCCCGUCACACCAUGGGAGUCUAUUGCACCAGAAGUAGCUAGCUUAACCUUCGGGAGGGCGGUUACCACGGUGUGGUCAAUGACUGGGGUGAAGUCGUAACAAGGUA
rnacentral:rRNA from 1 species